UACGUAGGUGGCAAGCGUUGUCCGGAAUUAUUGGGCGUAAAGCGCGCGCAGGCGGUCCUUUAAGUCUGAUGUGAAAGCCCACGGCUCAACCGUGGAGGGUCAUUGGAAACUGGGGGACUUGAGUACAGAAGAGGAAAGCGGAAUUCCACGUGUAGCGGUGAAAUGCGUAGAGAUGUGGAGGAACACCAGUGGCGAAGGCGGCUUUCUGGGCCAUUACUGACGCUGAGGUGCGGAAGCGUGGGGAGCAAACAGG
rnacentral:rRNA from 1 species